AGCCUUAAAAGCUAAAAAUAGCAAUUAA
rnacentral:tRNA from 1 species